GUGCUCGCUUCGGCAGCACAUAUACUAAAAUUGGAACGAUACAGAGAAGAUUAGCAUGGCCCUUGGGCAAGGAUGACACGCAAAAAACAAAAAACAAAACAAAAAAAAACCAUUUAUUU
rfam:Myotis brandtii contig321446, whole genome shotgun sequence.